rnacentral:lncRNA from 1 species
AAUUUAUUCAAAUGUGUUGACUUUUGAUAUAUAGCUGAACUUUAAUCCAAUUUAAAUUUAAUUUAAACAAUCUGGCCAGCGUGAACCACCACACCUGGCCUAUUAAACACUUGUUCUAAAGAGAAUGAUAUUACCAUGUUCAGCCAAUGAAACUGUAGAAUAAUUAGUACUUAGACGUAAUUGAAAUGUGUACCUAGCAGCAGAUCUCUUGCAGGAAGAAGUCUGAGCAGUUUGGCACAUAGAUAAAUGGGCCUAUGUGGCCCUUUAAGGUAAGAGAUAUUACCCUUCACAGUAGGUAGCUCUUUUUUAAAAAAUCCUAUCCCAUACAACCUGUUAAGUGGAAGAAAAUAUUUGCAAACCAUUUAUCCAACAAGGGACUAAUAUCUAUAAUAUACAGAGAACUCAACAGGAAUAAAACAGAUAAUCCCAUUAAAAAGUGGGCAAAGUUUGUGACCAGCCUGGCCAACAUAGUGAAACCCCAUCUUUACUAAAAAUACAAAAAUUAGCCAGGUGUGGUGGCACGUGCCUGUAGUCCCAACUACUUGGGAGGCUGAGGUGGGAGAAUCACUUAUACUUUGGAGGUGGAGGUUGCAGUGAGUGGAGACCAUGCCAUUGCACUCCAGCCUAGGUGACAGAGUGAGACUCCAUCUCAAAAAAAAA